rnacentral:rRNA from 1 species
UCCCAUGUUGCUUUCCCAGAUCGGUGGCCACUGCUGCCACCCCGACCCGGUUGAUUGGGGUCGGGGGGGAGGGGGCUGGGGAAGGGCCCAAUAACAAACCAUUGGGGCAAUUAGGUGUCUGAGUAGGCCACCUGCCCAAUCUUUAAAACAUGUUAAAACUUUCGACAAGGGAUCUGUUGGCUCUGGCAUCGAUGAAAAACGCGCGAAAUGCGAUAAGGGAUGUGAAUUGGGAAUUCGGUGAAUCGGGAAUCUUUGAACGCACAUUGCGGCCUUUGGGAUUCCGUAGGGCAUGCCUGGUCGAGCGUCACUAAAAACCCCCUCACGGAGAAGGUGGUAUGGGUAGAAGUGAACGGUACUUACAUUACCUUGUCUCACUCUGCUGAAAUGAAUUGGGGAGAGAAGUGGACCCGUGGUAAUUGACGCGAGGAGUGUUUUUCAAUGCUAAACUAGUCUUUACCCAAGUCAAGUUCUGACUACCGGACCCCCCAUUAAGUCCAGAAGGGAGUGGUUGAGCUCGGGGGCAGGUAGGGAUACCCGCUGAAGUUAAGCAUAUC